rnacentral:rRNA from 1 species
UACGAAGGGGGCUAGCGUUGCUCGGAAUCACUGGGCGUAAAGGGCGCGUAGGCGGCAAUUCAAGUCAUCUGUGAAAUCUCCGGGCUUAACUCGGAACGGUCAGAUGAUACUGCUUUGCUAGAGUGCGGGAAGGGGCAACUGGAAUUCUUGGUGUAGCGGUGAAAUGCGUAGAUAUCAAGAGGAACACCUGCGGCGAAGGCGGGUUGCUGGGCCGACACUGACGCUGAUGCGCGAAAGCUAGGGGAGCGAACGGG